UACAGAGGUCUCAAGCGUUGUUCGGAUUCAUUGGGCGUAAAGGGUGCGUAGGCGGCGCGGUAAGUCGGGUGUGAAAUCUCGGAGCUUAACUCCGAAACUGCAUUCGAUACUGCCGUGCUUGAGGACUGGAGAGGAGACUGGAAUUUACGGUGUAGCGGUGAAAUGCGUAGAUAUCGUAAGGAAGACCAGUGGCGAAGGCGGGUCUCUGGGCAGUAACUGACGCUGAGGAGCGAAAGCAUGGGGAGCGAACAGG
rnacentral:rRNA from 1 species